rnacentral:rRNA from 1 species
CCUACGGGAGGCAGCAGUGGGGACUAUUUCACAAUGGGGGAAACCCUGAUGCAGCGACGCCGCGUGAGUGAAGAAGUAAUUCGUUACGUAAAGCUCUAUCAGCAGGGAAGAACCACUGACCUUACGGUCAGCAGACGGUACCUGAGUAAGAAGCACCGGCUAACUACGUGCCACCAGCCGCGGUAAUACGUAGGGGGCAAGCGUUAUCCGGAUUGACUGGAUGUAAAUGGAGCGUAGACGGUGCGCCAAGUCUGGAGUGAAAUGCCGCAGCUUAACUGCGGAACUGGUUUGGAAGCUGGCGAAAGAGAGUGCGGGAGGGGUAAGCGGAAUUCCUAGUGUAGCGGUGAAAUGCGUAGAUAUUAGGAGGAACACCGGUGGCGAAGGCGGCUUACUGGACCGUAACUGACGUUGAGGCUCGAAAGCGUGGGGAGCAAACAGGAUUAGAUACCCGGGUAGUC